rnacentral:rRNA from 1 species
GCGGCCUAUCAGCUUGUUGGUGAGGUAAAGGCUCACCAAGGCUACGACGGGUAACCGGCCUGAGAGGGCGACCGGUCACACUGGGACUGAGACACGGCCCAGACUCCUACGGGAGGCAGCAGUGGGGAAUAUUGCGCAAUGGGCGAAAGCCUGACGCAGCGACGCCGCGUGAGGGAUGAAGGUCUUCGGAUUGUAAACCUCUUUCAGCAGGGACGAGGCGAAAGUGACGGUACCUGCAAAAGAAGCACCGGCUAACUACGUGCCAGCAGCCGCGGUAAUACGUAGGGUGCAAGCGUUGUCCGGAUUUAUUGGGCGUAAAGAGCUCGUAGGCGGUUAGACACGUCGGAUGUGAAAACUGGGGGCUCAACCCCCAGCCUGCAUUCGAUACGGUCUGACUAGAGUGUGGUAGGGGAGACUGGAAUUCCU